GAUACAAGGUUCCGACUCGGAACUCCCGAAGACGUGGACGCGGUCAGUUGCGGAACGCAUCAUGGCGGUUCGCAGAGUUGUGUUUGAAGUGUUGUGCAACAUGUUUCUUGCGUUUGUUAUUGAAACGUAAAUUUGUGUUGAAUUAUCGAAAUAUAGGAAGCAUCUUGUAAUAUGUAAUUUAUUAUGAGAAUAGGAAAAGGAGACGCAGAACGCUGAGAAGUCCGAAGUUACGGAGACUCUUUCGACUAUCUUCUUCUUCCAAUGGAAGGAUCACGCGCGCUGGUAAUCGCUUCUUAUCGAUGCACGGAUAUUGAAGAAUGGAAAGGAUUGCACAGACGAAGAGAAGUGACUCCAGCGGGAUCGUAACUCAUAGUAAGAAGAAAGAUAAAGCACAAUGAAGAUAUUUUGUAUCUUCGGAAGAUAUCUACCCCGAUAGAAUCAUUACUUUCUAAAAUGAUUCACCACAGUGCGCAGCAACGUGGGAAAAAGGGACUGGACUAUUACGCCAUGCAAGAUACACAUCAUUUUUCAUACUUUAACGGCAACGUAUACGGAAAUCUCGGGAAAAAUCGAUAACAGCAUUAGAUAACUUGGAAGAAUUCAGAAAUGUUAGAAAUCGAAGCAUCCAACAACUCGUAACGGAUGUCCGGAGGGCGAGUGGCAAAUGGUGGACUGCAAAACAGAGAGAGCUCCCCAUGGGCUCGUCCUCUACAAUGGCCGUCUGCAAAAACAUUAAUCACAAGUCGCUUGGUGUUUGUGCUGUCUAUUUCCAGCCCGUCCUACGCACUUUGUCAUCGAUAGAUUGUCGACAAACAUUUUCCAGCUUAUGGCGAUUCGCAGAUUUAAAUCGGAGAUAGAUCGAAGUGAGAAGCGAACAGUCAAAUAUUGAUCGGUAGUUGCAGAUUUAUGCUAUAAUUAUAUAUGAUAUAUGAUAAGCUAUAAAUUUAAAAAUUACAAAGCUCAAAUGUAAAGUAUAUCAUAAA